UACAGAGGGGGCAAGCGUUGUUCGGAAUUACUGGGCGUAAAGAGCUCGUAGGCGGUUUGUCGCGUCUGCCGUGAAAGUCCGGGGCUCAACUCCGGAUCUGCGGUGGGUACGGGCAGACUAGAGUGAUGUAGGGGAGACUGGAAUUCCUGGUGUAGCGGUGAAAUGCGCAGAUAUCAGGAGGAACACCAAUGGCGAAGGCGGCCAUCUGGGAGGGCACUGACGCUGAGACGCGAAAGCGUGGGGAGCAAACAGG
rnacentral:rRNA from 1 species